UAUGUUUUAGAAAUGAUAACACUUUUAAAAAGGAAACUGGGCCUUUCUUUUUUCCAAUAGCUAAUAAUGAAUUAACCUCACAAAUAAUAGACCAUGGCUUAAUAACCUAUACAAAAUUAUUUUCCCUUCGAUCAAAAUAAUGUGAAAAAACAUGUUACAAAAUGUAUGGAUUUAAUAUGACUAUCAUAAACCAUAACAUACACUUUAAAAUCCAGUGCCAGAUUCCUAUAGGAACAUAAUAAAUAUUUAUUGAAUUUAUUUGUGCCAUUUACAGAUUGCUACUUAUUUUAUGCAUAGCCUUUUAUUAAAUUUUGAAAGCACAUGGGAAUUCUGUAAUGAGUUAAAUAUUGGCUGUUGACUUAUUAUUUUGUUUCAUUUUUUGCUGGAAAAUAAACGAUAAGACUGCGUGGGAAUUGUGUAAUACUUUAUCACUCUUAGUUAUCCACCUAUGGGAAGACUUGCUAUUUGAACCACCCAAAUCUGGUACCAUCAUUAAUUAAAGUGGAAGCUAGCCUAGUUGUGAAUAUGAUGCCUAGAAAGUCACAAAUUACAUGUUUGCUAGUAUAUUCUAUUCAAACAUAUCAAGUAAUGGCAAAUACAAACUAUACACUCUAAGUACUGUCAUUCAAUCACACUCUCUAAAUAGGAGCCACGAACAAGUCUUCAGGGGCAGAGCAGGUUACAAAUGUGUUAAGCAGCCAGAUUUCCAUGCAAACAGGCAAACAUGCAUACAUAUAUCCCCACUACUGUCUUGGGGUAAAAAUGUAAUGAAGCUUUAUUAGAAAAAUACAGACAAGUAAAAGACACAUGAUCAUUAAUACCUAUUAUCCCAUAAAAAAAGUGUUUUGGGUUGGCAUAGCUGGCAUGUAUCUGCAAUGUAGGUAUCUUCAGAAGAACUCUGUAUUUUUAAUGCUCUACUUCAAUGGUUAUUAAAAUGUGGUCUCCAUUGUUCUACUCUAUCCCUAUCAUGGACUAGAAGCAUCAGCAACAACUGGAAGCCUCUCUCAUUUCCAGACUUCUAUUUAGCCCAUCCAGUAAGUUUUUUAUUUCAUGUAUUCUGUUUUUCAGUUCUAAAGUUUCAGUCUUGGAAGUGAACAUAACAGUCCAAGUCACGCCUUCAGAUGACAGAAGCUCCAGCCAACAUCUUGAGUGUAACAUUGCUACUGACAAGAUGCUUCAGUUUCUCACCAGGUGGGCCUCACCAAGCAGGAUGGCAGCUGGCUUCUGGAGUGA
rnacentral:lncRNA from 10 species